AUGCACGCUGGCGGCGUGCUUCACCCAUGCCAGUCGCACGAAGCACCUCUCCCGAAGAUUGACACAGCUUGCUGUAGAUUGAUUCAUUUGAGGUGACUGAGUGGCGGACGGGUGAGUAACGCGUGGGUAACCUGCCUCAUAGAGGGGGACAACAGUUGGAAACGACUGCUAAUACCGCAUAGUAAGAAGAAUUCGCAUGUUUUCUUCUUGAAAGAUUUAUCGCUAUGAGAUGGACCCGCGUCUGAUUAGCUAGUUGGUAAGGUAACGGCUUACCAAGGCGACGAUCAGUAGCCGGCUUGAGAGAGUGAACGGCCACAUUGGGACUGAGACACGGCCCAAACUCCUACGGGAGGCAGCAGUGGGGAAUAUUGCACAAUGGGGGAAACCCUGAUGCAGCGACGCCGCGUGAGUGAAGAAGUAUUUCGGUAUGUAAAGCUCUAUCAGCAGGGAAGAUAAUGACGGUACCUGACUAAGAAGCCCCGGCUAACUACGUG
rnacentral:rRNA from 1 species